AUUGAACGCUGGCGGCAGGCCUAACACAUGCAAGUCGGGCGAGUGGCGGACGGGUGAGUAAUGUAUGGGGAUCUGCCUGAUGGCGGGGGAUAACUACUGGAAACGGUAGCUAAUACCGCAUACCAUCAGCUGAACCCAGAUGGGAUUAGCUAGUGGGUGAGGUAACGGCUCACCUAGGCGACGAUCCCUAGCUGGUCUGAGAGGAUGAACAGCCACACUGGGACUGAGACACGGCCCAGACUCCUACGGGAGGCAGCAGUGGGGAAUAUUGCACAAUGGGCGCAAGCCUGAUGCAGCCAUGCCGCGUGUAUGAAGAAGGCCUUCGGGUUGUAAAGUACUUUCAGUCGGGAGGCGUUACCGACAGAAGAAGCACCGGCUAACUCCGUGCCAGCAGCCGCGGUAAUAC
rnacentral:rRNA from 1 species